ACUCCUGCGGGAGGCAGCAGUGGGGAAUAUUGCACAAUGGGCACAAGCCUGAUGCAGCCAUGCCGCGUGUAUGAAGAAGGCCUUCGGGUUGUAAAGUACUUUCAGCGGGGAGGAAGGCGAUAAGGUUAAUAACCUUGUCGAUUGACGUUACCCGCAGAAGAAGCACCGGCUAACUCCGUGCCAGCAGCCGCGGUAAUACGGAGGGUGCAAGCGUUAAUCGGAAUUACUGGGCGUAAAGCGCACGCAGGCGGUCUGUCAAGUCGGAUGUGAAAUCCCCGGGCUCAACCUGGGAACUGCAUUCGAAACUGGCAGGCUAGAGUCUUGUAGAGGGGGGUAGAAUUCCAGGUGUAGCGGUGAAAUGCGUAGAGAUCUGGAGGAAUACCGGUGGCGAAGGCGGCCCCCUGGACAAAGACUGACGCUCAGGUGCGAAAGCGUGGGGAGCAAACAGGAUUAGAAACCCUUGUAGUCCCAUGA
rnacentral:rRNA from 1 species